rnacentral:rRNA from 1 species
AUUGAACGCUGGCGGCAGGCCUAACACAUGCAAGUCGAGCGGCAGCGGGAAAGUAGCUUGCUACUUUUGCCGGCGAGCGGCGGACGGGUGAGUAAUGCCUGGGGAUCUGCCCAGUCGAGGGGGAUAACUACUGGAAACGGUAGCUAAUACCGCAUACGCCCUACGGGGGAAAGCAGGGGACCUUCGGGCCUUGCGCGAUUGGAUGAACCCAGGUGGGAUUAGCUAGUUGGUGAGGUAACGGCUAACCAAGGCGACGAUCCCUAGCUGGUCUGGGAGGAUGAUCAGCCACACUGGAACUGAGACACGGUCCAGACUCCUACGGGAGGCAGCAGUGGGGAAUAUUGCACAAUGGGGGAAACCCUGAUGCAGCCAUGCCGCGUGUGUGAAGAAGGCCUUCGGGUUGUAAAGCACUUUCAGCGAGGAGGAAAGGUUGGUAGCUAAUAACUGCCAGCUGUGACGUUACUCGCAGAAGAAGCACCGGCUAACUCCGUGCCAGCCGCCGCCGUAAUAC